rnacentral:rRNA from 1 species
UUAAAUUGAAGAGUUUGAUCAUGGCUCAGAUUGAAACGACUGGCGGCAGGCCUAAACAACAUGCAAGUCGAGCGGAAACGAGUUAUCUGAACC